rnacentral:lncRNA from 1 species
CAGGGAUCCUCCUGCCUCAGCCUCCUGAGUGCUGGGACUACAGGUGUGCACCCCCACAGACUACACUUCUGUCUCACAGGCAGAUCCUGUCAGUGGUGUUUAACCAGGAUGGAGGCGUGGUGAUCAGCAGGAGUGGACAGGUCAUCAGGGAGUGGACAUGGCCCACGAAGGGGUUACUGAGGACCCCAUGGAAAUUGGGGUGAACAGGUUCAUCACAGUGAGGAUUUCGGGGCACUUUGCCAUCACCUUGGCCUACAGAUGCCAUCGCCAGAGCCUGA